rnacentral:rRNA from 1 species
ACGCGGGCGGAUCUAAACAAUAUACCGAAACCUUGUCCAUAACAAAUUAUGAAGGCGCUAGCGCCUUCAUAAUGAAAUGGGGUAGCAGAACGUUAGGUUCUUGAGGCGUUAGCAUAGUAUGCUGGCGCCAAUCAAUUUAGUCUUAGUGUAAGGACUUGUGUCUUAUACUAGGGCUAAAUAUAAUCAAAUAACUUAAGUGAUAAUGGUGACAUGAGUAACAAAAAGAAUAAUAUUCCGCCUAAAGCUUAUGGAUAUAAAUUAAGUAUCGGCCUCUAAGUUUAUAAACCUAAAGGUUUAAACGAUGAGAAAAUCUUUUUUAUUAAGGACAACUUUGGGUCCUGUAUAUAUAUAGU